rnacentral:rRNA from 1 species
CAGCAGUGGGGAAUAUUGCACAAUGGGCGCAAGCCUGAUGCAGCAACGCCGCGUGAGCGAAGAAGGUCUUCGGAUCGUAAAGCUCUUUCUUAGGGAAGAAACUGACGGUACCUAAGGAAUAAGCACCGGCUAAAUACGUGCCAGCACGCCGCGGUAAUACGUAUGGUGCAAGCGUUAUCCGGAAUCACUGGGCGUAAAGGGUGCGUAGGCGGUUUGCAAGUCAGAAGUGAAAGGCUACGGCUCAACCGUAGUAAGCUUUUGAAACUGCAAGACUAGAGUGCAGGAGAGGAAAGUGGAAUUCCUAGUGUAGAGGUGAAAUUCGUAGAUAUUAGGAGGAACACCAGUGGCGAAGGCGACUUUCUGGACUGUAACUGACGCUGAUGCACGAAAGCGUGGGGAGCGAACAGGAUUAGAUACCCUGGUAG